GUAUAAUUGUCAUGGCAAUUUUUCAAAUACUUUUACAGUGAGGACACAAGUUAAUUUUGGAUUAUACAGGGUGUAUAAAAAAAAGGUAAUCUAACUUCAGCGCACUAUUAUACGUGAAUCACUCGGCAUAUGAACAACUGGUUUUCAUAUUCGGAAAGAUCAGGCUUUUAGCUAUUGAAUGACAUGCUUUUCAUGCCAAGUGGAGAAAAAAUAAGCAUGUACGAGGCCGAUCAAAAAUGUUAGUCAAAAUCGCAUAUUUUCACCUCUGUGCCUAAUUAAAACAAUGCAUAACAAAAGAAAAAGCAAUUAAUCACGAACGUGUCGUAGCUUAGCUAAGAU